rnacentral:rRNA from 1 species
UACGUAGGGUGCGAGCGUUGCCCGGAUUUAUUGGGCGUAAAGGGCGCGUAGGCGGUGCCGUACGUCCGUUGUGAAAUCGCUCGGCUCAACUGGGCGGGGUCAGCGGAUACGGCGGCACUUGAGCAAGCUAGGGGGCAAUGGAAUUCCCGGUGUAGUGGUGGAAUGCGUAGAUAUCGGGAGGAACACCUGUGGCGAAAGCGGCUCACUGGACCACAACUGACGCUGAGGCGCGAAAGCUAGGGGAGCAAACAGG